GAAAUAUACAAGUAUAAUGUACAAAAUAUGUAGAAAAGUCAACUAAACUAACAUAUCAAAUACAAAUUUGUAACACUAAAUCAAUCCAUCUCGAAGUCUUAAGCCGGUUGAUUAGUGUUUCCUUGUGAGGUCCAUUGCGAAUGCUGUAAACUUUGUAUUAAUAACAAUCUAUGAACAUGGAGCACACACGGCCGCAAUCAACGGCAGCUAACAUGAUCCGAGUGCUUGAGUACCUGAUCAGUGGCUGAUUCAGUGGGUCCAUUCGGUGCGCCGUCAUGCUUGCUCAUUUAUAUGCAUGUCCCGCCUCUCUAUGCGCCUCUCACGAGCUCAUUCGGUCGGACACUCGGACGAUCGGAUCAGUCGCUCGUUGUCGAGUCAAACAAAUGUUUGCACAACACACAAUAAUGAUGACAGCGCAAAUUAGCUACUAAUUUUCACAUAAACUCUAACUCGAUGUGGAUGGGAAUGAGGAUGAGGAUGAGGGUCAGCUGAGCGCCAGGACCUCACACAGCUGCCGUCGCGCCGGAAGUGAUGUGCCACGUCGACUCUGAACUCGACUACAAAUUGCCAUAAAUCAGCAUUUGAUUAUCCUUUCUCUCCCUCUCUCUGUGUGUGCGUGUGUGUGUGUGCGGCUAAUUUGGCUCUGGGCCAGCCUCGACUGUUGGCUCGUUUCUCUCAUGUCAUGUGCGUGUUACUUUGUUUUUUAAUUUAUUAAUUAUUAGGCGGUGUCCGCCGAGGCAAGCCGCCUCGGCCCCGCAACGCUUCCGCUAUUAGCAAAAACUGCGAUCCAUCCAUCCAUCCAUCCAUCCAUCCAGCUCAUCUCGACUUUUUGGUGACUGACUGGCAGUUGGCUACCUCGCAAAUGUGCAGCAGCCGCUGCAUCAUCCCAAGCAUUCGGGUGGCCACCGAACGUCACUCAAAUUGAAGUCUCGCAAAUGAGAAUUGCUGAGCAACUGGCCACGGCUCCAGUCCCACUGCUCCCCUGACCCUGCCUCUGUCUCUGGCUCAGCGUCUGCCUUAGGCGCGCAGUUGUUGGAUUUUUAAUUAAGCCUGGCCCGAAGUGGAGCUGGAGUUGAGUGGACUGCGAGUUGGUAACUGGUCUUAGAUAGAGAGUGAGAGAGAGAGACAGAGAGAGGGAGAGAGCCGCUGCUGAGCAAGUGCUACCCGUUCGCACGGAGCAUGAAUGAAGCUGAGGCCAAACUCAAAAUGUAAAACUCUAACUCAAGCUGGAGUUGGAGCUGGAGCUGUGAGCUCUUGAAUGAAUUUAAUUUGAGAUGAUUUGUUGAUGGUUUCGUUGCGCUGAUUUCUUGCUGACUAAUUUAAUGUGAUUUUUAAAUUGCCAGAGACGCUGUUUGUGUGGCCAACGGCACAAGUGAGAGGGACUGACAAAGAAAGAGACAGAGAGAGAGAGAGAGAAAGGUGGCGAUAUGAAACAGGCGCGCUGAGUGGAAGAUGCUGGGACUCAUCUGCAGAUUGAUUUGGGGCCGUUGUGCAUUAGUCGAGACGAGCUACAUGUAUACAAGAUUUAUAUUCUAUACCCUGCAUGCAUUUCGAAUAGGGUAUAUGAGACGUAUGAUAUCGUGAAUGGGCGUAUUAACAAUAAAUGUAUGUUUGGAACUAAGUCUUUAAACAUUUUGGUAGUAAACAUGAGCACAAAUUUUUUAUAAAACUAAUUUUUAAUUUUUUAA